AACGAACGCUGGCGGCAUGCCUAACACAUGCAAGUCGAACGAUUGCCUUCGGGUGAUAGUGGCGCACGGGUGCGUAACGCGUGGGAAUCUGCCCUUAAGUUCGGAAUAACAGCUGGAAACGGCUGCUAAUACCGGAUGAUAUCGCGAGAUCAAAGAUUUAUCGCCUGAGGAUGAGCCCGCGUUGGAUUAGGUAGUUGGUGGGGUAAAGGCCUACCAAGCCGACGAUCCAUAGCUGGUCUGAGAGGAUGAUCAGCCACACUGGGACUGAGACACGGCCCAGACUCCUACGGGAGGCAGCAGUGGGGAAUAUUGGACAAUGGGCGCAAGCCUGAUCCAGCAAUGCCGCGUGAGUGAUGAAGGCCCUAGGGUUGUAAAGCUCUUUUACCCGGGAAGAUAAUGACUGUACCGGGAGAAUAAGCCCCGGCUAACUCCGUG
rnacentral:rRNA from 1 species